GUGAGAGAGCGAGUCCUCGCCAGGAAAAAACACGAAAUCGUUCUGGAGAAUCAAACCGUGACGUUACGUCUGAGUUCUGCAUCGAGUCCAUCGAGCAGCGACGACGUCUCAGACGCAGCGACAGAUUCAAAGAGUCCGAAGUCAGAAGCUGCGUCUGGAGGCGGAGCUUCAGACG